AUGCACAGAGGAGCAGACCAGAGGAAAAAAGAUCAAGCGAAGCCUGGCAGGACAAAUGCAAGCAGCCACUGCAUCAAUAUCUCUCUUCUUCUACAAAACCAGCUGUGGGGAAAAAUGGUAAUAUUAGAUGAAGGAAACAAAUCUCAGCAUGCAGGAUCAACAUAUGGUGGCACUAAAUACCAGAUGCCAAAAGAAGAACUAAUGCUAUUUGCAGGCCUAUUUCAUGCCAUAAUUUUUCUAUGUGAGACAUAUGAAACAUACAUACUUUAUGGUGACCGAUAGCAACAAAUUUGUUGUUGCACAAAAUAAAAUGUAUAUAAGCAGUGUCUUCUCUCCUAUU
rnacentral:lncRNA from 1 species